rnacentral:rRNA from 1 species
CCUACGGGGGGCAGCAGUGGGGAAUAUUGGACAAUGGGGGCAACCCUGAUCCAGCCAUGCCGCGUGUGUGAAGAAGGCCCUCGGGUUGUAAAGCACUUUCAGUGAGGAAGAACGCCUGGUGGUUAAUACCCAUCAGGAAAGACAUCACUCACAGAAGAAGCACCGGCUAACUCCGUGCCAGCAGCCGCGGUAAUACGGAGGGUGCGAGCGUUAAUCGGAAUUACUGGGCGUAAAGCGCGCGUAGGUGGCUUGAUAAGUCGGUUGUGAAAGCCCCGGGCUCAACCUGGGAACGGCAUCCGGAACUGUCAAGCUAGAGUGCAGGAGAGGAAGGUGGAAUUCCCGGUGUAGCGGUGAAAUGCGUAGAGAUCGGGAGGAAUACCAGUGGCGAAGGCGGCCUUCUGGACUGACACUGACACUGAGGUGCGAAAGCGUGGGUAGCAAACAGGAUUAGAUACCCUGGUAGUC